AUUGAACGCUGGCGGCAGGCCUAACACAUGCAAGUCGAGCGGAUGAAGGGAGCUUGCUCCUGGAUUCAGCGGCGGACGGGUGAGUAAUGCCUAGGAAUCUGCCUGGUAGUGGGGGAUAACGUCCGGAAACGGGCGCUAAUACCGCAUACGUCCUGAGGGAGAAAGUGGGGGAUCUUCGGACCUCACGCUAUCAGAUGAGCCUAGGUCGGAUUAGCUAGUUGGUGGGGUAAAGGCCUACCAAGGCGACGAUCCGUAACUGGUCUGAGAGGAUGAUCAGUCACACUGGAACUGAGACACGGUCCAGACCCCUAAGGGAGGCAGCAGUGGGGAAUAUUGGACAAUGGGCGAAAGCCUGAUCCAGCCAUGCCGCGUGUGUGAAGAAGGUCUUCGGAUUGUAAAGCACUUUAAGUUGGGAGGAAGGGCAGUAAGUUAAUACCUUGCUGUUUUGACGUUACCAACAGAAUAAGCACCGGCUAACUUCGUG
rnacentral:rRNA from 1 species